AGCAACCCUCCCCCCUUUCAUAGACUUCAUUCUCUUCUCAAAUUCUUUUCAAAUCUUUAGCAUAAUCUGAGAAAAAACUCAAUCAAAUUGCUGAGAAAGGGAAAACAAUAUCGCAUCGUUGGAUUUAACACUGAGAUUGCGUGAGAUUAGAGUGCUUCUCAUCAGGAUUCCUGACAAUGGGGACAAGUGAAUACAGUUAUGAGCUUGAGGUAAAUUAUGGUGGGAUUUUCCUUAAUGAUGUGGCUAGGAGUGGUAAGGUAUAUGUGGGUGGUGAUGUAAUGGACAUUGGGGUAGAUAUAGAUAACUUUUCAAUGGAAGGCUUUAGAGAUUGGUUACAAGAGGAUAAAAGAAGAGAAGGGAAUGAGCCUGAAACCUCAUUCAUGACAAAAAAGUGACCAGUUUUUCACAAGAUGGGAAAUCAUUACAUUACAAGAGGAUAUUUACAGGCUGCAUGAAAUGAGAAGGAAAAAAAUGCAAAGUAGUGCUGCCAAGAGGAAUCCAAGGAAGUCAGUGAGAAGUGCAGGCUCAUUGAGAGCAGCACUACUAGUAGAGAGGAGCCCAAUGAUGUAAUGCAGACCCAAGAAUCAGUAAACAAAAAGAAUUAGACUGUAAUAGGAUGUUUUGUUUCUAUUUGUAUUGGCUUGAAC